GAGAGCCGUGUACGGGGAGACUUGUAUGCACGGUUCGGAGGCGAGUGCUUGGAAACCUACCAUUGUAACAAAUGGCAAGGCGUCGGGUGCUUAGCCUAU
rfam:Tannerella sp. oral taxon BT063 isolate Cell 1/3 contig_2519916863, whole genome shotgun sequence.